UACGGGGGGGGCGAGCGUUGUUCGGAAUUACUGGGCGUAAAGGGUUUGUAGGUGGCGCCGUAAGUCGGGUGUGAAAUUUCGGAGCUUAACUCCGAAACUGCAUUCGAUACUGCGGUGCUUGAGGACUGGAGAGGAGACUGGAAUUCAUGGUGUAGCAAUGAAAUGCGUAGAGAUCAUGAGGAAGACCAGUGGCGAAGGCGGGUCUCUGGACAGUUCCUGACACUGAGACACGAAGGCCAGGGGAGCAAACGGG
rnacentral:rRNA from 1 species